AUGUCUGUGAUGCUUCAGUGGCCGGGGCAGGCAUUGCUCAGCACAGUGAAUCAGCUCCUGGAGCCUGUCCCUGGCUCCCUUCCUGGCUCCAUUCCUGCCGGGAUCGCUCCUGGAGCUGCCCCUGGCUCCUCUGCCCAGGAUCGCUCCUGGAGCUGCCCCUGGCUCCCUUCCUGGCUCCAUUCCUGCUGGGAUCGCUCCUGGAGCCUGUCCCUGGAUCACUCCUGGAGCUGUCCCUGGCUCCUCUGCCCAGGAUUGCUCCCGGAGCUGCCCCUGGCUUCUCUCACCGGGAUCGCUCCCAGAGCUGUCCCUGGCUCCCUUCCUGCUGGGAUCGCUCCUGGAGCCUGUCCCUGGAUCACUCCUGGAGCUGUCCCUGGCUCCUCUGCCCAGGAUUGCUCCCGGAGCUGCCCCUGGCUUCUCUCACCGGGAUCGCUCCCGGAGCUGUCCCUGGCUCCCCUCACCCUGAAAUGCUCCCGGAGCUGUCCCUGGCUCCUUCCCCCGGGAUCGCUCCUGGAGCUGCCCCUGGCUCCUUCCCCCGGGAUCACUCCCGGAGCUGCCCCUGGCUCCUUUCCUGCCGGGAUCGCUCCUGGAGCUGCCCCUGGCUCCCCUCACCGGGAUCGCUCCCGGAGCUGCCCCUGGCUCCUCUCACUGGGAUCACUCCUGGAGCCUGUCCCUGGCUCCCUUCCUGGCUCCAUUCCUGCCGGGAUCGCUCCCGGAGCUGCCCCUGGCUCCUCUCACUGGGAUCACUCCCGGAGCUGCCCCUGGCUCCCCUCACCGGGAUCGCUCCCGGAGCUGCCCCUGGCUCCAUUCCUGCCGGGAUCACUCCCGGAGCUGCCCCUGGCUCCCCUCACCGGGAUCACUCCCGGAGCUGCCCCUGGCUCCCCUCACCGGGAUCACUCCCGGAGCUGCCCCUGGCUCCCCUCACCGGGAUCGCUCCCAGAGCUGUCCCUGGCUCCUUCCCCCGGGAUCACUCCCGGAGCUGUCCCUGGUUCCCCUCACCCUGAAAUGCUCCUGGCACCACAGCUGCUGUCGGGGUCGUGCUGCCCUUCCACUCUGGGUUUGUUAUUUUUCAUUAAAACUGAGGUAGCAAAGAGGCUGAGUGUUCCCAAACAGUGUUGUGCUGAGGGCAGGGAAUUCCCACAGCAGGAAUUGGGGUGUAGGGUGGGCAGGAGCACCCACAGUGGGUGCUGAGGGAAUUCCCACAGCAGGAAUUGGGGUGUGGGGUGGGCAGGAGCACCCACAGUGGGUGCUCAGGGAAUUCCCACAGCAGGAAUUGAGGUGUAGGGUGGGCAGGAGCACCCACAGUGGGUGCUGAGGGCAGGGAAUUCCCACAGCUGGAAUUGGGGUGUGGGGUGGGCAGGAGCACCCACAGUGGGGUGGGUGAGAGGGGUGUGGGGUGUAGUAGAGGGUGUAGAACUCAUGUGCAUGGUGGUGAUGUGUAGGACAGUAGAGGUUCCCAUGGGUGUCGGUGUCUUUCUUGUAACCACAUGUAAUCCAUUUUUAAAGAAGAAAAGGUGUUUUCGUACUCGGGGUCGGGGUUUAUUUUCAUUUAGGCUGGACCAGCCUUUUGGGGCAGCUGGGGUUGGUCCUUGGGGGUUUCCCUGGGAGGUCGUUGGUUCCAAGUCCGGCCGUGCUGCUGCUCCUGCUCCGUGUGUGUGGCACCGCUCCAGAAACCAGAUCAAAGCUUGCCAGAGAAAAAAAAAAAAAAGAAAAAAAGGAAUUUAAUUGUAAAAAUGCUGGAAAUGAUCUUGAUGACCUCUUUCUUUUUUUCUUUGUAAAGCUGUAAAUACUUUAUUUUUGUUUUCUAUUCUUAAUGCGGUGUCAUAUUGACACUUUUUUAGAUUUACAGUCAGAAAAUCCUCCUCAUUGUUUCUCAUUUUUUAAAAGGGGAUUUCAAGGAAGCAAAUUUUUUUGCUCGCUAGCAGUGUAAUAAUAGAUCAAAUUCCUAAACUGGGUUUGUACAAAAAUGUUUUCAGUAAACAAAUGGCAGUUUGUGGAUGCAUGUUGUUCAAAAAUGUCCAAAGAAUAACGUGGUACAAAUGUUUUAAAGAAUAAUGUGGUACAAACAUUUUUUUCAAAGACUUAGUGAUUAUCAUCUUAGUUCACACAAGGAAAAAAAGCAAAAUUAUUUAAAAAAAAUGUUUGGGGGGGAAUGUAAUGAAACUCAUCUAAGCUAAAUGUGUAAUCUAUUUAUAAAAACACAGUAUAUAUUCUAUUUUUAUCAGAGGUUUUUAAAGUGCAAACAGAUUUCUGUUGGCAGAUGCAAUUGUUCCCUUGUAAAGUCUCUUCUGCUCUGUGGGACCCCCAAAUUCUCUGAUGGUUCCAAGAGUCAAUGUGGAAAUCACCAGGACAGGUUUGGCUGUGGAGCACUCACAGGGGAGGCUGCAGCUUCAGCAUCUCUUCUGCCUCUGCAGAAUUGUUGCUGUGAUUUUAUUCCCUUCCCUGUGCUUUUAUUCCCUUUCCCCGACUGGGAGGAUACUCCUGGAAAGGGUCAGGACCUCCUGGAGCACGGCAGGACAGGGGUUAAACUCUGCCUCAGCCUGGAGAAUAUAAAAAUUAAAUAUAAAUAAUAUUCCUACCUGUAGAAAUUUGGAUUAACUCAACAAAACCAAACAACAGAUGGGAAUCCUGCCUGAAUAUGCAUCCAGAGCUGCUUCUGAAGGGAAAUAAUAUUAAUUUUCUUUUCCGUGCUCAUUGCUGCCAGCAGAACCACGAGCAGGGUGCUCCCGGAGCCGCUCCGUGUUUCCCUUGGCUCUGGGAAUCCGGGAUGUUUGUGUUGGAAGAGCUGCAGAGCUGUGAGGUUUCAUGUUUGAGUGCUUCAUUUUAGAGCUGAGUGUUUAAGGAGCGAUUUAUCCCGGCUAAAUUAAGACAUCCCAGCACUUCCAGGAGGCAGGAACACCCCAGUGAGGAUUUUCCACCUUUGGCUGGAGGACUUUUGGGGUUUUUCUCCUUUUAAAUGCUGGGUUUUAAGCUUUUUUAGCGGGAUGUAAUGUGUGUCUGUUUGAGUUUUAGCUAAGAAACAAAAUUACCAGCGAGGCAAGAGGUUAUUCCUGGUGGGAAUAACAGCAGAGGUGAGCUGGGAGCUGCUCCCUGCCUGCCAAAUUCUCCGUGGGAAUGGGAUGCCAGCCCUUCUCCCUGGCCCAGGCUUUGGCACAGCAGUGGGGAAGCACUUGAGCUUUCCCUUUCUGUCUGUUUUUGUGCAGCUUCGCUGUCCUCAGACCCUUCUGCGUUUGCAGGAGCCUUUCAGAGCUUCUCUUUUGAAGGAGCAACAAAUUGUGUUUCGAUGUGGGUGUUUGAUUGCAGAAUCACCAUCCCCCUAAUCUGAGGCACUCCAACAGUGAAGCACUGGGGAGGGGGUGCUUGGCGGUCUGGCCAGCUCCUUUUUUGGGAAAUAAUGAUGUUAAAGCUUAAAACAACCCCCGGGGUGGCUUCACACCGCUGUCAUCUCUGAGGCAGAGCAGCCCAGACCACGGUGCCACAAACCCGCUGGAGCUGCCCAGACUGCCACCCCCGAACCCCCAAAUUUCUGUUUUAUUGGAGAGGCUUUGAGGGCAGUCCAACCUCAGUCACUAAAACACACUCCUUCCUGUGACCUGGUUUCACCAAAAAACUCACAACCCAGUCCCUGAAACACCUUCCUGUGGUUAAAGUACAUGUAGCGACCUUCAGCCAAAAAAGAUUAUUUAUUAUUUAUCAUGUUCGAGUGCGGGGUAUUGAUGCCUCUUCCCUCCUGCUGUGUCACUUCUUGUCGAUUCCUCUUUAGGUCACUUAAGAGUUUCUUUUAUCCCCACGACAACGAACUGCUGAUGGUGUGAGAAUGCCCCUGGUUACCGUCCCCGUGUAAAUAUUGUGCUUUAUAUUCUGUAUAUUAGCUAAUUUUAAUGGAAAAGACUGGACUGAUGAUGCUGUUGGAUGAUCCCAGGAGGGGAAAGGCCAGAGGAUGACCCAGCUCCCGGCCUCUGGGGCUGGAAUUCUGUGCUGGGAACCCGCAGCAGCUGGAAUGGGACACCACCAGUGGAUUUGGGACCACGAAACGCUUCGAGAAUCCAAUCCACGUCCGGAGGAGCCCUGAGAACUCCCUCAGCCAGAGCCAGAACCACCAGAACCACGCGGCCUCCUCCGAGCUCGGCGGAUUUGCUCUGUUUUCCUUUUUUUAGUGCCAAAACCGACCCCACCAACCCCUUGCAGGUCUGCUGGUGGCUCUCUGUGUGCUGCUGUAGUGUCCAGCUGUGUCCAGCUGUGUCCAGGUGUGUCCAGCGGUGUCCAGCCAGUGCCCAGCUGUGCCCAACCAGUGUCCAGCUGUGUCCAGCUGUGUCCAGCUGUGCCCAGCCCACCCCACCCCUCCGUCCUGCCGGACCCCAGGGGCAGCAGCUGCCCAUGAAACAGGUCCCAGUCGGUCUCCGGUGACGAUGAAAACCACAAAAAACUAUAAAAUAAAUACCAAACUCCUGGUUGAACGGCUCUGCGUGGUAAUUCUUGGGGCGGAAAACGCCUCUAAAGCAAAAGGAUUUGGCUCUAAGGAGGGAGGGACCAUCCUCGUUCCCCAAAAUCCGCCCAGCCCAGGUGAUUUGGGGUCAUAAAAUAGCCCAAACUACCCUCAAAAUCAGGGUCCUUCAGCUGCUGCUGUUGAAACAUGACUCUCCUUGGAAAUUAAAAUACCCCCUGCACACUUCAGCCUUCUCCUGGCCCUGUGCCCCAGCCAGGCCCCACCUUUGGGUUAAAAUCACCCCUUUUUUGCUAAAGUCUCAGUUCCUAAGGAGAUCCUCGGUUGAUUUCUCUUUCUCCCCGCCGAAAUCCUCUCCGGCGGCUCGGCCCCGCUGAGCUCCGGGCACAGCCCCAGCCGCCGCCUCUCCUCGGGCCGUUUUUGUUGUUGUUUUCCCCGAAUUUCC
ensembl:lncRNA